rnacentral:rRNA from 1 species
AUGCACGCGGAACCUUACCAAGGCUUGACAUGGACCGGACCGCCGCAGAGAUGUGGUUUCUCCUUUUGGGGCCGGUUCACAGGUGGUGCAUGGUUGUCGUCAGCUCGUGUAGUGAGAUGUUGGGUUAAGUCCCGCAACGAGCGCAACCCUCGUUCCAUGUUGCCAGCGCGUUAUGGCGGGGACUCAUGGGAGACUGCCGGGGUCAACUCGGAGGAAGGUGGGGACGACGUCAAAUCAUCAUGCCCCUUAUGUCUUGGGCUUCACGCAUGCUACAAUGGCCGGUACAAAGGGUUGCGAUACUGUGAGGUGGAGCUAAUCCCAAAAAGCCGGUCUCAGUUCGGAUUGGGGUCUGCAACUCGACCCCAUGAAGUCGGAGUCGCUAGUAAUCGCAGAUCAGCAACGCUGCGGUGAAUACGUUCCCGGGCCUUGUACACACCGCCCGUCAAGUCACGAAAGUUGGUAACACCCGAAGCCGGUGGCCUAACCCCUUGUGGGAGGGAGCCGUCGAAGGUGGGACUG